UAACACAUGCAAGUCGAACGGUAACAGGAAACAGCUUGCUGUUUCGCUGACGAGUGGCGGACGGGUGAGUAAUGUCUGGGAAACUGCCUGAUGGAGGGGGAUAACUACUGGAAACGGUAGCUAAUACCGCAUAACGUCGCAAGACCAAAGAGGGGGACCCUCGGGCCUCUUGCCAUCGGAUGUGCCCAGAUGGGAUUAGCUUGUUGGUGGGGUAACGGCUCACCAAGGCGACGAUCCCUAGCUGGUCUGAGAGGAUGACCAGCCACACUGGAACUGAGACACGGUCCAGACUCCUACGGGAGGCAGCAGUGGGGAAUAUUGCACAAUGGGCGCAAGCCUGAUGCAGCCAUGCCGCGUGUAUGAAGAAGGCCUUCGGGUUGUAAAGUACUUUCAGCGGGGAGGGAGGGAGUAAAGUUAAUACCUUUGCUCAUUGACGUUACCCGCAGAAGAAGCACCGGCUAACUCCGUGCCAGCAGCCGCGGUAAUACGGAGGGUGCAAGCGUUAAUCGGAAUUACUGGGCGUAAAGCGCACGCAGGCGGUUUGUUAAGUCAGAUGUGAAAUCCCCGGGCUCAACCUGGGAACUGCAUCUGAUACUGGCAAGCUUGAGUCUCGUAGAGGGGGGUAGAAUUCCAGGUGUAGCGGUGAAAUGCGUAGAGAUCUGGAGGAAUACCGGUGGCGAAGGCGGCCCCCUGGACGAAGACUGACGCUCA
rnacentral:rRNA from 1 species